UGAGAACAUGAAACCCCAUAAGUUGGUGUGUAGCUAUGUGUACUCGUAGCGGUCAACGUCGCUACAAGGCAGAAACCAGCCGCGCUCCGUAUCGAGACAAUGCGGAACGAUGUGAACGACUGGAGGGGGNNNNNNNAGAGCGCGAUGCUGACGAUGAUCAGGAUCGCGAGGUGUUUCAUUUGUGGUCUGACCGCUCAAGGACGCGGUCCAGCCUAUCGCCCAAUCGAUCGAUGGCGGCUGUCAGGCGGUCUUCCACCUCNNNUGUAGUCCCGCGCGAUCUGCUCGCGGUAGAGCGAGAACUGCGCCGUCUGGAUUGCAAGAGUAUUGGUGAUCUCUUGAUGGUCGCGCUUGGACUGCUCGCAGGCCUUUAAGGCUUCAUCGGCAACGCCCUCUGCACUGGCGAUACGGGCACCGAACUUGAUCCAGAAGGUAGCAAAC
rnacentral:misc_RNA from 1 species